rnacentral:lncRNA from 1 species
CCCCUUUCCCGGGUUUUUUUUGGGAAUUUUUGGGAAUUAAAAGCCUUUGGAUGCUCCGUUUUGGGGAGGGGUCUCGGCUGUUUUCUGUCAUUUGGGGAGGGGGAGACGGAGGGGUGGAAACCGAUUUUAUUGGCACGGGGGGGGGGUCCCCGAAAUUCCACUCUGUCCAUCCCAAAAAUCCCAGCCCAAAAAUUCCUGCUCCAUCCCAAAAUUCGGCUCCUUCCCGAAAAUCCAGCCAGGAACGAGGGGGGAGGGGAAAUGUGGGAUGAGCCGGAGGGGGCUGGAAGGUUCCGGAAGGUUCUGGAAACUUCUGGGAGGUUCUGGAAGGUUCUGGAAGGUUCCGGGAGGUUCUGGAAGGUUCUGGGAGGUUCCGGAAGGUUCCAGGAGGUUCUGGGAGGUUCCACGGAUGAUUCCCAAGGAAUCCCAAACUCCCCAGCGAUGACGGAGCUGCUGUGGGGAGGUUCCAGAAGGUUCCGGAAGGUUCUGGGAGGUUCCAGGGCCGAUUCCAGCAGGGAAUUCCCAAUGAUGAUGGAGCCUGGGAUGGUCUGGGAUGUUCUGGGAUGCUCUGGAAGGUUCUGGGAUGUUUCCAAUCGGGAAUUCCCCGUUAUUUCCCCGCGAUCAGGGGGUUACGCAGCACCACGAUGACGGAGCCUGGGAUGCUCUGGGAUGCUCUGGGAUGUUCCAGAAUGUUCUGGGAUGUUCCGGAAGGUUCUGGGAUGUUCCAGGAUGUUUCCAGCUGGGAAUUCCCCGUUAUUUCCCCGCGAUCAGGGGGUUACGGAGCACCACGAUGACGGAGUCUCCGCGCAGGAACAUCUUGGAGAUGUACCGGUCCUUGUUGACGGGUUUGGAUUUCUUCUUCCCUUUGCCGCUCUUGGGCACCUCGGUCCACAUCUCCUUGACGUUCUCCAGCACCAUGUUACAGUGCCUGCCGGGAAAAACGGGAUCCCAACGGGAAAAACGGGAUCGGGAGGGGGAAAAUCCGGGAUUUGGGGGGGAAAAAUGGGAUUUGGGGGGGAAAAAUGGGAUUGGGAGGGGAAAAAUCUGGGAUUUGGGGGGGAAAACCUGGAUUUGGGGGAAAAAUCCGGGAUUUGGGGGGGAAAAAUCUGGGAUUUGGGGAGGAAAAAUGGGAUUGGUUGGGGAAAAUGGGAUCUGGGGGGAAAAAAAGGAAUUUUGGGGGGAAAAAUGGGGAUUUUGGAGGGGAUAAAGCAGGAUUUGGGGGGAAAAAAUUGGAUUUGGGGACUCUGGGGACACCUUGAAGACACCUUGAGGUCACAGAGCUGACCUUGGGGUCACCCUGGGGACACUGUGGUGAUCCUGAGGUCACUUUGGGGACCCUGGUGACACCUUGGGGACACUCUGGUGACACCCUGGGGACAUGUCCUCACCUGUCAAACGCUUUGACGCGCCCCAGGAGCUUUUUGUUGUUGCGGCAGUUGAUGAGCACCUGCGUGUUGUUCUUCACGCUCUGCGUCAGCACCGACAGCGGGCCCGUGUUGAACUCCUCCUCCUCGCGCUUCUGCAGCUCCUCGGGCGUCAUCUCGCUCUUGGGCUUGUUCAGGAGACUCCUGGGGACAUUGGGGACACCACGGGGACAUCAGGGGAGCCUCGGGGACACCGGGGACAUCACGGGGUCAGGGGAUGUGGGGACACAGGGAUCCAUCUCUGGGGUCACCUCGCUCUUGGGCUUGUUCAGGAGACUCCUGGGGACAUUGGGGACACCACGGGGACAUCACAGGAACGUUGGGGACACCAGGGACGUUGGGGACACCACGGGGACAUCAGGGGAAUGGGGGAUGUGGGGACACCGGGACAGGUUUGGGGACACCGGGAUCAAUCUGGGGACACCAGGAUCGGUCUGGGGACACCGGGAGCGGUUUGGGGACACUGGGAGCGGUUUGGGGACAGCGACGGGACCCGAACGGCGACAAAGAGCAGGCCCCGGCCCGUUCCGUCCCCUCCCGGUGUCCCCCCGCUCCCCAGC